rnacentral:rRNA from 1 species
GACGAACGCUGGCGGCGUGCCUAAUACAUGCAAGUCGAGCGGACGGAUGGGAGCUUGCUCCCAGACCGUCAGCGGCGGACGGGUGAGUAACACGUGGGCAACCUGCCUGUAAGACUGGGAUAACUCCGGGAAACCGGGGCCAAUACCGGAUAACUCUUUCCCUCACCUGAGGGAAAGCUGAAAGAUGGCAUCUCGCUACCACUUACAGAUGGGCCCGCGGCGCAUUAGCUAGUUGGUAAGGUAACGGCUCACCAAGGCGACGAUGCGUAGCCGACCUGAGAGGGUGAUCGGCCACACUGGGACUGAGACACGGCCCAGACUCCUACGGGAGGCAGCAGUAGGGAAUCUUCCGCAAUGGACGAAAGUCUGACGGAGCAACGCCGCGUGAGUGAUGAAGGUUUUCGGAUCGUAAAACUCUGUUGUCAGGGAAGAACAAGUACCGGAGUAACUGCCGGUACCUUGACGGUACCUGACCAGAAAGCCACGGCUAACUACGUG